CCCAAAACCUAUAUCUCUUCACACUAGAGAAACAAAUUCUCUACAACCUCCUAUAUUUCUCCCGGCUGCGGCCUACCAGAGAAGACGGUGGUUGUCGACCGAUAGCGGCGACGCCACCUUCUUCUCUGGCAAACCAACCUCCAAAAUUCAAAACGAACAAUGCCAACCCCCCUUCUUUUUGGCCAACGAAUCCAAAUCCAAAUUCACUUUUCGCUCAAACCCUCUCAAACACCCAGAUCGGACUCCGAUGAGAUGGAAAAAAUUAAAUCUUACCACGAACGAGCCCCAACACAAACCAACAAAACUAAAAUUUCCUCAAACAAACAAAACGAACACACAAAAAACAGUUAGAAACACACAUUCAAAGGCAAACCCUAAAUUUGUAAUUAAUCUAAAAUAGCAGCAAUUCGGCAUAAUUAAAUUGGGGUUUCUAGUCCAUUCAUCAAGGCGAGCAAGAUGGUGCGAAGAUUUUAAGGAAAGAAGGAAAAAGGAGUAUACUUGAUUGGAGUCAAGACGCUGGCGACGUCUCCUCCGAUGCGUUUGAGAUGAGUCUCUCUUUUUAAUUUCAAUUUCUCUCCUUCUUCUCCUUCUCUCUAUUUUUUGAAUGCUGUUGAUUGCUGUCUUUAGGGUCUGAGCUCGUCUAGGUCAGAGUUUCAGUGUGAAACUCUAACUUAGACUUUAGGAAUUUUGAGCUUUAAGUGAAUGGUUCUUUGAUGAAUUUUGGCAGAAUAACGGUAUCCCUCAGUUUGGCGUAAUAGCUUUGUAUUUAUAGGGCGAGGAUGAAGGAUAAGCAUGUCAUAUUCCCUUAAUGAUGAGCUAGUAAUAUUAGGAUAAAUCCGUUAGGAAAUCUUUUGUGCAUCCCAGAUUUCGUGGGAUCCAAAUGGUCACGACGGCAUGUGUACAUAAGUGGAUGAAUGGCUUAAUGUAGGGGUCUUGAGGAAGGAGUUUUGAUGAGGCGUAAACAAAAAAUUAAGAAUAUUAGGGGCAGGUUUAUAUUGUAAGGAAUAAAACACCUCAACUGUACCAUAACGUCAUCCGUGCGUCAAAUGGUAGUUUGAAUGUAAAUUUAAUUAGUUUUUUUCUAAACAAUGCUUAAUGUAACCUUGAAAGGUGAAUUUGAAGCCCAAUGUUUCUUUCCUUAAA